ACGUCCUGCCUCGUGAUCGUCUUCUCACCCUUCACGACGGCAGGCGGAUGAAAGGAGACCCCCGCGAGGACGUGACUCGCGGGGGUUUUCC
rnacentral:ncRNA from 1 species